UACGUAGGGUCCGAGCGUUGUCCGGAAUUAUUGGGCGUAAAGAGCUCGUAGGCGGUUUGUCGCGUCUGCUGUGAAAUCCCGAGGCUCAACCUCGGGCCUGCAGUGGGUACGGGCAGACUUGAGUGCGGUAGGGGAGAAUGGAAUUCCUGGUGUAGCGGUGGAAUGCGCAGAUAUCAGGAGGAACACCGAUGGCGAAGGCAGUUCUCUGGGCCGUAACUGACGCUGAGGAGCGAAAGCCAGGGGAGCAAACGGG
rnacentral:rRNA from 1 species